UCUUCCACGCCUCUCGCCUCUCGCCUCACGCUCACGACUCCUGACUCACGACUCAAGUUUUGAUCAUCAUCUUCCUCUCAUCUCACUCGAGUCACGCUGCUGCUGCACUUCAUCAACCGAAUGACUUCAAUGGCGGGUAAGGCGGGUUCUUCAAAGAACAGGUCAGAAGACCCGGUUAGGAAA